rnacentral:rRNA from 1 species
UACGAAGGGGGCUAGCGUUGCUCGGAAUUACUGGGCGUAAAGGGCGCGUAGGCGGUUCGAUAAGUCCCGUGUGAAAUCCCUCGGCUCAACUGAGGAAUGGCACGGGAAACUGACGGGCUUGAGUUCGGGAGAGGGAAGCGGAAUUCCGGGGUGUAGCGGUGAAAUGCGUAGAUAUCCGGAGGAACACCGGUGGCGAAGGCGGCU